AGUGGACGCUGGCGGUAGGCCUAACACAUGCAAGUCGAACGGCAGCACAGUAAGAGCUUGCUCUUACGGGUGGCGAGUGGCGGACGGGUGAGGAAUACAUCGGAAUCUACUUUUUCGUGGGGGAUAACGUAGGGAAACUUACGCUAAUACCGCAUACGACCUACGGGUGAAAGCAGGGGAUCUUCGGACCUUGCGCGAUUGAAUGAGCCGAUGUCGGAUUAGCUAGUUGGCGGGGUAAAGGCCCACCAAGGCGACGAUCCGUAGCUGGUCUGAGAGGAUGAUCAGCCACACUGGAACUGAGACACGGUCCAGACUCCUACGGAGGCAGCAGUGGGGAAUAUUGGACAAUGGGCGCAAGCCUGAUCCAGCCAUACCGCGUGGGUGAAGAAGGCCUUCGGGUUGUAAAGCCCUUUUGUUGGGAAAGAAAAGCAGCAGGUUAAUACCCCGCUGUUCUGACGGUACCCAAAGAAUAAGCACCGGCUAACUUCGUG
rnacentral:rRNA from 1 species